UACGUAGGGGGCGAGCGUUGUCCGGAUUUAUUGGGCGUAAAAGGCUUGUAGGUGGCCACGUCAAGUCGGAUGUGAAAUCUCCCGGCUCAACUGGGAGGGGUCAUUCGAUACUGGCGGGCUCGAGGCCGGUAGGGGGAAGCGGAAUUCCCGGUGUAGUGGUGGAAUGCGUAGAUAUCGGGAGGAACACCAGUGGCGAAGGCGGCUUCCUGGACCAGCACUGACACUGAGGCACGAAAGCGUGGGGAGCAAACAGG
rnacentral:rRNA from 1 species